rnacentral:rRNA from 1 species
AAGAACCUUACCUGGGCUAGACAUCNGCGGAACGCCUGAGAAAUCAGGUUUUCCCUUCGGGAACUGCCGGAUCAGGUGUUGCAUGGNUGUCGUCAGCUCGUGUCGUGAGAUGUUGGGUUAAGUCCCGCAACGAGCGCAACCCCUGCCCUUAGUUGCCACCGGGUAAUGCCGAGNACUCUAUGGAAACUGCNNNGGUAACCCANGAGGAAGGAGGGGAUGACGUCAAGUCAUCAUGGCCUUUAUGUCCAGGGCUACAAGCGUGCUACAAUGGAUUACACAAAGGGCUGCAANCUCGCGAGAGGCAGCUAAUCCCAAAAAGUAAUCCUCAGUUCAGAUCGUAGUCUGCAACUCGACUCCGUGAAGUUGGAAUCGCUAGUAAUCGAGUAUCAGCACACGCCGCGGNGAAUACGUUCUCGGGCCUUGUACACACCCCCCGCCACGCCAUGGAAGCCUGCUGUACAUAAAGUCGGUGCCCCACCCGCAAGGCAAGUAACCACCUAUGGUAUGGCCGUUGACUGAAGCAAAUUCCUAACAAGGAACGGUA